GCGGGCCUGGCCGGGCAGGAAGUGACGUGCUCCCUGCACUCCCGCGGGCUCCAAUCUCUGUGUGAGCUAGUGCUGGCGGCAGAGUCAAAACAAGAACCUCUCCGCCCUGUCUCUGGUCUGUGUCCAGGUUGUCACUACUCUCUUGGGUUAUCAGCUUGUGAAGCUGUGUUUCCUCUUCGAGGACGGCGGACCACCAAUUUAAACUAAGGCCACUUACCGUCUCUUUUUUUGAGCCAUGCUUUGAAGAGAUGGAAUGGACAAGAGUCUACCUUGCAUAAAGGAAAGACCAAAGAGGAACAUCAAUGCAGAGAAGAACUGAGAUCAAGGAGGAGGUCUUUGAGCUCUGUAUUCCCAAUACCCUGAACAGGGACUUACAUAUAAAUGCCCUAGAUGUAUGAGGUUUUUGUUGUGGCUCAUACAACAUUGUAAUGUUUUGAGAAGAAAGUACCAUUUAAUUAAUACGGAUUCAGCAUGGAUUCCAUAGACCAGCAAGGGAUCAGAAGAAUCCGUUACUCAUUUUCAAAGUAGCCGUACAACUUUGCAUUUCCAUCAGUGAUGUAUGAGAGUUCCAGUUUGUUCUACUUCAUUGCUGACACUUGAUAUCACCAGUCUUUUUAAUUUUAAUCAUCCUAAUAUGUCUAUAGGAAUAAUUCAUGCCUAUAGUUUGGAUGUGUCACCUCCAAAAUUCAUGUGUUGGAAACUUACUCCCCAGUAUGACAAUACUGGGAGGCAGGGCCAAAUGGGAGGUAUGUCAGUCUUGAGGGCCCUGCCCUCAUGAAUGAAUUAGUGGUACUAUAAAAAAGUGCUUGUGGAUGUGGAUCUCUCUCUCUUCUUCUCUUUUUCCAUGUGAGGGCAUGGUGUUCCUCUCCCGCUGCAGAACUCAGCGCUCAAGGUACCAUUUUCAAAGCAGAGACUGGGCUUUAGUGUGCCAAUGCCACUUCUCAGCUUCCAUAACAGGGACAAAUAAAUUUCUGUUCUUUACAAAUUACUCAAUCUCAGGUAUUUUGUUAUAGCAGCACAAACCAGACUGAGGUACUCAUUGUGAUUGUAACUUGCAUUUCCCUAACAAUGAUGAUGUUGUUAAUUUGUGUGUGCAUGUAUUCUUGUUUGCCAUUCAUUUAUCU